AGGCUUGCACCCUCCCUGCAAUUGGGGCUGGGAUCCCGAUCGUGGCCUUUGGCCGUGCCACCCCGCUGCCUGGCUGCUGAGUGUCGUUCCUGCUGCUGGGGGGGAAACCGAGCUCUGUGGCUCCGUGGGUGUCGUCGCCCCGCCUGUAAUCAGGGUCUGGGUGCGGGAGCCUUUGUGCUCUGCUGGCAGCCUGUGUGGGGCGACCGCCCCGUUAGUGGGGUUAGGGGUCAAGGUGCCCCGGUGUGGGAGAGAAGGAGCCUCCCUCUGCCUGUGGAGCAAGGCUGCCCUGUAAGUGAGGGACUGGCUGUGCCUUGGCGUCCCAGGCCCUUUGCAAUGGCGGCAGCGUCAGGGGACCCCUGUAAGCAGGGAAGUUGACCCUUUGGUCGCUGCUUUUGGUGUGCCCAGCUCCAUUUGCCCAGUCUGCCCGCCUCUGUGACCCUCCGCAGCACCGGCUGGAGCUCUGCAGCGCAUCGGCGUGGGAGCUGCUGCAGCAAAGGAAGAAGCAGCAAAGGAAGAAGCAGCGAGUGGAACCGGGAGGCAACAGCGAGCAAGAGGAGGAAGCAGAAGCCUGUGGACGGGGGCGAAAGAGAGAGGCUCUCUGGGCAAAAGCACCUCCCUGUCAGCAGGGUCACAGUCACAUUUUGGUAGAGCGCUGCCGGCACCUUGGGUGACCAGGCCGGCUUUGUGCUGGGCGACCUCCCUGUAAGCAGGGCUCGGGUCUUUGCUGUAGUUGGCCUUUUGCCUUGUUGCUCCUUUGGCUGCCUGGGGAGCGUGGCCCCCCGUACAGAGGGCAAGAGCCACCUCCCCGCACCCGAGUGGGAAAUGGAGCUCGCUGGACCCCAA